rnacentral:rRNA from 1 species
UACAGAGGUCUCAAGCGUUGUUCGGAUUCAUUGGGCGUAAAGGGUGCGUAGGCGGCGCGGUAAGUCGGGUGUGAAAUCUCGGAGCUUAACUCCGAAACUGCAUUCGAUACUGCCGUGCUUGAGGACUGGAGAAGAGACUGGAAUUCGUCGGUGAUAGCGGUGAAAUGCGUAGAUAUCGGAGAGGAACACCUGCGGCGAAGGCGGGUAGCUGGGCCGACACUGACGCUGAGGCGCGAAAGCCCAGGGGAGCGAACGGG